rnacentral:rRNA from 1 species
AAUACGUUCCCGGGCCUUGUACACACCGCCCGUCAAGCCAUGGAAGUUGGGAGUACCUGAAGUCCUCUAGCAAUAGAGGCCUAGGGUAAAACCAAUGACUGGGGCU